UACAGAGACUGCAAGCGUUAUUCGGAUUCACUGGGCGUAAAGCGUGCGCAGGCGGUUCGUUGUGUCGGCGGUGAAAGCCCCGGGCUUAACCUGGGAAUGGCCGUUGAAACUGGCGAACUGGAGUGUGGCAGAGGGGGGUGGAAUUCCGCGUGUAGCAGUGAAAUGCGUAGAGAUGCGGAGGAACACCGAUGGCGAAGGCAGCCCCCUGGGCUGACACUGACGCUCAGGCACGAAAGCGUGGGGAGCAAACAGG
rnacentral:rRNA from 1 species